rnacentral:lncRNA from 1 species
CGCCCGUUGGGCGUGUGGGUUUCAAUGUGUGUCUGAAUCUGUCUGUGUGUGUUUGAAUCUGUCUGUUUGUGUCUGUGCUCUGGAACCACCCCCGCAGAGGAGCCGGGAUGCUUCCUCGGGUGGAGGGUGCCCUGCUUUCCCAUUUCCUCUCCUCCUCUCUGCUCCCUCCCAGGAGCCACUCCCAUGGGCUCCUCUCCAGUGCUGGGCCUGGAAGCACUAGGAAUUGGGAUGGGACGGACCCCCCGGGAAGACCAGGCUGGAGCAGGUGUCGGGGCUCCUCUGGUCCCACCUCCUCCCUGGACACUUGGGUGCUGGAGGAGGAAACCGGCGGAGCAGCUUCCCCACUCUCAGUUGCGCGUCUGGCGAUGGCGAUGAGAGGUCCUGCUGCGCUGCCCGCCGCGCUCCCCCUCCAUUAGCCGCGCCGCGCCGCGCCGCGCCCUCGCCGGUGCCUCUCUCGGGACCCGGGAUCGGUCCCGCGCUUCCAGGCACGACCCCCUCCCCCGGCCUCUCGGCCUCCCCCCCACUCGGCGGUCUCCGACCCGGGGCGCGCGUUCCCCCCGGCCCGGCUCCCACUCUCCCCCCGGGGGCACCCGCUCCCCAGCCCCGGCCCGGCCCUCCCCGCGGCGCAGCACGGAGUCUCGGCGUCCCAUGGCGCAGCCCACGGCCUCGGCCCAGAAGCUGGUGCGGCCGAUCCGCGCCGUGUGCCGCAUCCUCCAGAUCCCGGAAUCCGACCCCUCCAACCUGCGGCCCUAGAGCGCCCCCGCCGCCCCGGGGGGAGAGCACGCGAGCGCGCUGAGCGGAGAGCGGGAGGACGCGUCCUCGCUCGCCGGCCGGGAGGCCCCGGAGCCGGCCCAUGGGGAGCGGGCGCCCGGCCCCGGCCACCACGCCCGCCGCCGCCCGCGCCGCGCCCGGCCCGCCGAGCCCAGGUAAGCGCCGAAGGGGCCCGGGCGGCCCUGCUGCCGCGCUCGCCGCGCCCUCCCCGGCCGGCCGCACGC